rnacentral:rRNA from 1 species
GACGAACGCUGGCGGCGUGCUUAACACAUGCAAGUCGAGCGGAGCGGCGCACGGGUGAGUAACGCGUGAGUAACUGCUCCCCUCUCUGGGAUAACAGUUGGAAACGGCUGCUAAUACCGGAUAGUGGGGGGUGACUCGUGUCCUAUCGGCUUGUUGGUGGGGUAGUGGCCUACCAAGGCGACGACGGGUAGCAGACCUGGGAGGGCGACCGGCCCAAUUGGGCUGAGAUACAGCCCAAAAGCCUACGGGAGGCAUCAGUGGAGAAUAUUGCACAAUGGGGGAAACCCUGAUGCAGCAGCGCCGCGGGCGGGAAGACGGCCUUCGUGUAGAAAACAGCUUUCAGCCAUGACGCGGUAGUGACAGAAGAAGCACCGGCUAACUACGUGCCAGCAGCCGCGGUAAUAC